GGUAGCGUGAUUCUUGUUUUCUUAAUUAGAAAUCUGUUCAAAGAAUGUAAUGGAGAGGAACUCUUGUUUUCAUAUAGAGUGAACUUAAAUUGUUAGUGAAAAUUCUGACAAGUGUUUAAAAGACGAGAAGACCCCAUAAAACUUAAUUUGAAGUAUUUUCUUAUACCUUAAAAUUUAGAUGGGGACUUUAGAGUAAAUUAAUAACUUAAAGACCUAUAGAUCUAUUGUUUGAGAAGCUACUUUGGGGAUAACAGGGUAAAAUAUUUGGAGAGUUCUUAUCGAUAAAUAUGCCUACUACCUCGAUGUUGG
rnacentral:rRNA from 1 species